rnacentral:rRNA from 1 species
UACGAAGGGGGCUAGCGUUGUUCGGAAUCACUGGGCGUAAAGGGCGCGUAGGCGGCUUUAUAAGUCGGGGGUGAAAGCCUGUGGCUCAACCACAGAAUUGCCUUCGAUACUGUAUGGCUUGAGACCGGAAUAGGUAAGUGGAACUGCGAGUGUAGAGGUGAAAUUCGUAGAUAUUCGCAAGAACACCAGUGGCGAAGGCGGCUUACUGGUCCGGUUCUGACGCUGAGGCGCGAAAGCGUGGGGAGCAAACAGG